rnacentral:rRNA from 1 species
UACAGAGGGGGCAAGCGUUAUUCGGAAUUAUUGGGCGUAAAGGGCGCGUAGGCGGCCUGGCAAGUGGAAGGUGAAAUCCCUCGGCUUAACCGAGGAACUGCCUCCCAAACUGCUUGGCUUGAGACGGGGAGAGGUGAGUGGAAUUCCCAGUGUAGCGGUGAAAUGCGUAGAUAUUGGGAGGAACACCAGUGGCGAAGGCGGCUCACUGGACCGGUACUGACGCUGAUGCGCGAAAGCGUGGGGAGCAAACGGG